rnacentral:misc_RNA from 1 species
GUACUCUCACACUCUCUGAUCCGUUGGAUUUGGGGAGCGGUGGACUUGGGUGCUUGCUGCUUCCUUGUGGCUCACCUGAAAUGCAUCAGUGCAUCUCUUGAUUGGACAUAGUACGGCGUGAUAAGCGUCUUCGCCGGCACCUCAUAAGAGGGUGGCUGAUCGGGAGCUCUGUGCUUUCAAACCGUCUUCGGACAACCCUUGACA